rnacentral:rRNA from 1 species
GAUGAACGCUGGCGGCGUGCUUAACACAUGCAAGUCGAACGGAAAGGCUCCUGCUUGCAGGGGUACUCGAGUGGCGAACGGGUGAGUAACACGUGGGUGAUCUGCCCUGCACUUCGGGAUAAGCCUGGGAAACUGGGUCUAAUACCGGAUAGGACGAUGGUUUGGAUGCCAUUGUGGAAAGUUUUUCGGUGUGGGAUGAGCUCGCGGCCUAUCAGCUUGUUGGUGGGGUAAUGGCCUACCAAGGCGUCGACGGGUAGCCGGCCUGAGAGGGUGUACGGCCACAUUGGGACUGAGAUACGGCCCAGACUCCUACGGGAGGCAGCAGUGGGGAAUAUUGCACAAUGGACGCAAGCCUGAUGCAGCGACGCCGCGUGGGGGAUGACGGCCUUCGGGUUGUAAACUCCUUUCGCUAGGGACGAAGCGCAAGUGACGGUACCUGGAGAAGAAGCACCGGCUAACUACGUG